rnacentral:rRNA from 1 species
UUAUGCUACGGGACGCAGCAGUAGGGAAUAUUGCUCAAUGGGGGAAACCCUGAAGCAGCAACGCCGCGUGGGUGAAGGAGUAUUUCGGUAUGUAAAGCCCUAUCAGCAGGGAAGAACAAUGACGGUACCUGACUAAGAAGCACCGGCUAAAUACGUGCCAGCAGCCGCGGUAAUACGUAUGGUGCAAGCGUUAUCCGGAUUUACUGGAUGUAAAGGGAGCGCAGGCGGCGCGUUAAGCCUGGUGUGAAAGCCCGCGGCCCAACCGCGGGACUGCAUUGGGAACUGGCGCGCUGGAGUGCCGGAGG